UACGGGGGGGGCAAGCGUUGUUCGGAAUUACUGGGCGUAAAGGGUGCGUAGGCGGUCUGACAAGUCUGAUGUGAAAUCUAUGGGCUCAACCCAUAGUCUGCAUCGGAAACUGUCGGGCUUGAGUAUGGGAGAGGUGAGUGGAAUUUCCGGUGUAGCGGUGAAAUGCGUAGAGAUCGGAAAGAACACCAACGGCGAAAGCACUCUGCUGGGCCGACACUGACACUGAGAGACGAAAGCUAGGGGAGCGAAUGGG
rnacentral:rRNA from 1 species